UCAGAAACAUGGGAUUGGAACAAGCCUCAAUCAGAUUCUGGUGUAGCGCCAACACCAGAGUUAGUUUCUGAAGAUUCUUCAGAAAGUUCUGAAGACGAGUCAGAGUCAGAAGAUGAAUCUGAUUCUGAAGACUCUGAAGAUGAGUCAGAAUCUCAGGGAGAUUCUGAUAGUGGAUCUGAUUUUGAUCCCUAUUCUGAUGAUGAUCCAGAUUCUGGUGGUGAUUAUAUUUCUGGAAGAGAAAACUCUGAAGACAUAGGGUUUGGAGGACAAGCUUUCAGAAGUAACUCUGAAGGUGGUAAUUCUGAAGGAAGUAGUUCUGGACAAGGUCCAUAA